UACGUAGGGUGCAAGCGUUGUCCGGAAUUAUUGGGCGUAAAGAGCUCGUAGGCGGUCUGUCGCGUCGGCUGUGAAAACUCGGGGCUCAACUCCGAGCUUGCAGUCGAUACGGGCAGGCUAGAGUUCGGCAGGGGAGACUGGAAUUCCUGGUGUAGCGGUGAAAUGCGCAGAUAUCAGGAGGAACACCGGUGGCGAAGGCGGGUCUCUGGGCCGAUACUGACGCUGAGGCACGAAAGCUAGGGGAGCAAACAGG
rnacentral:rRNA from 1 species